GAAUUUAAUAUAGAUUUAUUGAAAAAAUUAGUAUGUGAUUUUUUAAGUUUAUAUUUUAUUGGGAGGAUAGUUAAAUUAAUAAAACUUUAAAAAUAAAAAACCAUUGAUUUAUGAAGUAAAAUAAAAAGAAUGGCGUUAAGAAAGUUUAAAUAGAAUUAAUUACCUUAGGGAUAACAGCGUUAUAUUUUUAGAGAGAUCUUAUUAAUAAAAAUGUUUGC
rnacentral:rRNA from 1 species